CGCGAAAGCUCAUUUGAUAUGUAAAAUUUAUACUAAUACAUAAUAUUAUGUGCUUUGAUUCUGAUAGUUGCAGUAGAAUGACGUCAUCAUGUAAGGGGACCAGAGUUAGUCGACGAUAAUCUUAAUGAACAUUACAUCAUCCUUGAUAUACUGAAGGUCAGUAUUCAAGCUUUCAAGAGGCAUAAACAAUGGGGAACCUGACGGCAAAUUCAUAUCCGACUCUGGACGUUGAAAAGAGGAACUUUGAGGGUCGGAAUGAAACGCAUCAAUCAUGUGAUCUCCAUUGCCUUGAUCCAACAGCAUCAUCGUAAUCUUCUUCUGAAAUGGCCAGGUCA
rnacentral:lncRNA from 1 species